CCUACGGGGGGCAGCAGUGGGGGAUAUUGCACAAUGGGGGAAACCCUGAUGCAGCGACGCCGCGUGGGUGAAGAAGCGCCUCGGCGCGUAAAGCCCUGUCAGCAGGGAAGAAAAUGACGGUACCUGAAGAAGAAGCCCCGGCUAACUACGUGCCAGCAGCCGCGGUAAUACGUAGGGGACAAGCGUUAUCCGGAUUUACUGGGUGUAAAGGGGGCGCAGACGGCGAUGCAAGCCAGGAGUGAAAGCCCGGGGCCCAACCCCGGGACUGCUCUUGGAACUGCGUGGCUAGAGUGAAGGAGGGGCAG
rnacentral:rRNA from 1 species